UACGUAGGGUGCAAGCGUUAAUCGGAAUUACCGGGCGUAAAGCGUGCGCAGGCGGUGAUGUAAGGCAGUUGUGAAAUCCCCGGGCUCAACCUGGGAACUGCAUCUGUGACUGCAUUGCUGGAGUGCGGCAGAGGGGGAUGGAAUUCCGCGUGUAGCAGUGAAAUGCGUAGAUAUGCGGAGGAACACCGAUGGCGAAGGCAAUCCCCUGGGCCUGCACUGACGCUCAUGCACGAAAGCGUGGGGAGCAAACAGG
rnacentral:rRNA from 1 species